ACUCUUAUAGCCGAAUGGCAUAGGCGGCAGUUUCAAAAACUGUUUUUUGUAGGUUCGAAUCCUACUAAGAGUA
rnacentral:tRNA from 1 species